CUUGCAAGUGGGCUGUUGCGUUCACCCUUAUCGGCUGUUAUCCGGGCACAGAAGGGAAGAUUUUCUUUUUUGUGCGAGGGAUCAGCGGGUCUGUAGCUCAGCUGGUCAGAGCACACGCUUGAUAAGCGUGGGGUCGUAGGUUCAAGUCCUACCAGACUCACCAUAUCAGGGCUCAGUGGAGCGGGAUGAGCGAGGUAAGGAGGCGUGAGCCAUGCCUUAAGGCGCGGAUUUCUGUAGCGAGCUGAAUUCUGAUAGGGGGCAUAGCUCAGCUGGGAGAGCGCCUGCUUUGCAAGCAGGAGGUCGACGGUUCGAACCCGUCUGUCUCCACCAGUCAGGCCAGCGCACAGGCUCGGGUUCUUUAACAAAGAGGGAAGAAGUUGGACUGUCAUGGGCAUCAGCCAAGCGGUGGUGCGCAUGACAGGGGGUGAUUGAAUCGACCGGAUGGGCGCGGACAAAAGGCGCGCGCAUACGGAUUAUUCGCGAGACAGGCGUGUUAUAG
rnacentral:tRNA from 1 species